AGCAUUUCAAGUUAUUAUUUCAUUAAUAUUUACUACAUGAAGGAGAGGUCUCCUGGCAUCAGUACAGCUCAGCUAUUUGUCAAAUAAUGCCUCAUUCCUGGACUGAUGAUUUUGAUACAAAGUUAGAGUUAGCACAAUUUAAUAAA